UUUCCGUAGGUGAACCUGCGGAAGGAUCAUUAUUGAAUGAAACACUUCUGGCUUUAUGCUGUUGUGCUGGCCCUUUGGGCAAUGUGCACACGGCUCUGGUCACUUGUUUCUUCUGUUCCACCUGUGCACUGCCAGUAGACACGCUGUGUCUAUGAUAUUUGUUAACACACAACAAUGUUAGUUGGCAUGUUAUAUAUAAUAAUAAAAUAUACAACUUUCAACAACGGAUCUCUUGGCUCUC
rnacentral:misc_RNA from 1 species